GACGAACGCUGGCGGCGUGCUUAACACAUGCAAGUCGAACGGGUCUGCCCUGUUUUUUGCGGGGUGGGUCAGUGGCGAACGGGUGAGUAACACGUGAGUAACCUGCCCCUCACUUCUGGAUCACCGCCCGAAAGGGUGGCUAAUACGGGGUGUUCUGGCUGUGCCGCAUGGUGUGGCUGGGAUAGAUUCACUUUUGUGGCGUUUUGGUGGGGGCUGGGCUCGCGGCCUAUCAGCUUGUUGGUGGGGUGAUGGUCUGCCAAGGCUAUGACGGGUAGCCGGCCUGAGAGGGUGGGCGGCCACACUGGGACUGAUAUACGGCCCCCACACCUGCGGGAGGCAGCAGUGGGGGGUAUUGCACAAUGGGCGAAAGUCUGAUGCAGCGACGUCGCGUGAGGGAUGGAGGCCUUCGGGUUGUGAACCUCUUUCGCCGGUGAAGAAGGUCCUGCUCUUUGUGGUGGGGUUGACGGUAGCCGGGUUAUGAAGCGCCGGCUAACUACGUG
rnacentral:rRNA from 1 species